AUUAUUGCCCAGUACUUUGUUGAGAUUGCUACUGACUUCUUCCCUUAAUCAGAUUACUAAACAUUGCUUUUAAGUUGCUUGACUUCCAACGUUUCCACAUUCCCCCAUCCUCUGACUCUCUCUCUCUUUCACCUGAACAUGAAAUUUCUGAUACUAACCUCCGGCUGCCUCUGAAUGAUCUAUCGAUUAUCAUCCCAGUCAUCGGCGUCUCGUCGCGGCCACUGACUGAAAGUCGGCCAUGGGCCCGGGUAAAACGAGGAUGACCGGUGAUACCCAACAAAAGCCCACCAGAAGAGAGCUUCGGUUCAACUAUUCGACUGAUUUUCAUUUUCUGGUCCUACUGUCACCACCAACGCGCCACCAUCCGUGCCGUCUCCACCGACUACUCAAAUAUGGCGGCGAUGAACUCUGUUCGUAUCGACGCUGCCAAGAUGACAUCGAUUAACGAUCUUGCCUCCAGAAGCUGUUACGAUUUCAAGACCUAACCAUCACAUUCGGAAACUGCCACUCUACAUUCAAGUGCAUGUGAAAGCUGAUAUGAGGAAAAUGACAAGCUGAACACUAGUAACAUAUGGAUUUUGGAUUACAGAUCGGAUAAAAGGGGACAGUGGACACUUAACCAAAUUAUGAGGAACUAUAGAAGUCGUACAGAAUGUAUGGGGGAUAUACAAAGGCUAAAUGCAUCUUUUCUUGCAAUUUAUGUGUCACUGAUUCCACCGGAAGAAGAGAAGGAUAAAACAGAAGCAAUUGAUGGCAUUAUUGGAUAAACAUGUUACAAAAGAAUGGCCUAAAGCUCGAUUGUUUCCUUAUGGAUCAUGUGCAGAUAUUGACAAAGCAUAGAUUUUUUUUGAAGCUUCCUUAUAUUUUAAAAUCUGAUAAUCUUGGGAAUGUUCAAGUAAUUCUCUUGAAGGGUAAAUUGAUCUUUUUAGGUUCUGUUUUCAAAACAAAUUCAAUCAAUCUCAUUAUCUUAAACAUGAAUCCUAAAAUUAAGCAAAACAUAAUCAAUUCUCAGUUCUCAAAAUCUCAAUUUUUUUUCAAAACAGAAUAUUGUGAUUGCUGAAUUUGAUGUCCAUGUGUCUUCGCAAGAUCCCCCCCCCCCCACUCUCCCUUUUAGUCUAACCUUUUAAGCUUUUCAUGUAUUCUAUAUAUAUAUCCUAUUAUAAAAGCUAUUGAUUUGUAUUGUUUCAUGUUCAUGUUAUCUGUGGGUGUCGGAAUUUAAAGUGUGAGGUCCAUAUUUUGGUGUUAGAGGCUGAAACUGGAGAAGGAAAAGAGAGUCUAUGGAGGGAGAUGCAGGGAGAGACUUGGAAGUCCAGGGAAGUUUGGAUGGGAGGGUGAAUGAACCAUCUUGUUGCCUUAAAGCAAGAGCUUUCCCUAUUGAUUCAGAGCUUGAAGCCAAUUGUCAUGUAACAUUUGUUUCUGGAUGGUUCUCUGAUAAAGGUGGAAAAAGCAUGUACUUUAACAACCUCAUGUGGCUAGCUAAUUUAAGCUAGGGUUCAUAUAUGUUGAAUAUGCAACCUGAGUUUCCUUUUGUGAAUAAUAAAUAUCAGGAGAAGCACAUUCCUUGGAAGUAGAAAAGAUUUUGUUCAAGGAAAAAUCAGAGUACCAGGAGGUUGUAGUUUUUGA